rnacentral:rRNA from 1 species
GAAUGGAUUUUGGCUUAAAUCUAUAUGGCCCCUGGAUUGGACUGCGGCCGAUCAGGCUGUUGGUGAGGUAAUGGCCCACCAAACCUGUAACCGGUACGGGCUCUGAGAGGAGGAGCCCGGAGAUGGGCACUGAGACAAGGGCCCAGGCCCUAUGGGGCGCAGCAGGCGCGAAACCUCUGCAAUGGGCGAAAGCCUGACAGGGUUACUCUGAGUGAUUUCCGCUAAGGGGAUCUUUUGACACCUCUAAAAAUGGUGUAGAAUAAGGGGUGGGCAAGUCUGGUGUCAGCCGCCGCGGUAAUACCAGCACCCCGAGUGGUCGGGACGAUUAUUGGGCCUAAAGCAUCCGUAGCCGGUUCUUCAAGUCUUCCGUUAAAUCCAGCCGCUCAACGGAUGGGCUGCGGAAGAUACUAUAGGACUAUGAAGCGGGAGAGGCAAGCGGUACUCAGUGGGUAGGGGUAAAAUCCUUUGAUCCAUUGAAGA